rnacentral:rRNA from 1 species
AGAGUUGAUCCUGGCUCAGGAUGAACGCUGGCGGCGUGCCUAACACAUGCAAGUCGAACGGGGUUAAGUGAUGUUUCGGAUGGAUCUUAACUUAGUGGCGGACGGGUGAGUAACGCGUGGAUAACCUGCCUCACACAGGGGGAUAGCAGCUGGAAACGGCUGGUAAUACCGCAUAAGACCACGGUGCCGCAUGGCACAGGGGUAAAAGAUUUAUCGGUGUGAGAUGGAUCCGCGUCUGAUUAGCCAGUUGGCGGGGUAACGGCCCACCAAAGCGACGAUCAGUAGCCGGCCUGAGAGGGUGAACGGCCACAUUGGGACUGAGACACGGCCCAAACUCCUACGGGAGGCAGCAGUGGGGAAUAUUGCACAAUGGGCGCAAGCCUGAUGCAGCAAACCGCCGCGUGAGUGAAGAAGUAUUUCGGUAUGUAAAGCCCCAUCGGCAGGGAAGAAAGGCCCGCAAGGGAGAUGACGGUACCUGACUAAGAAGCCCCGGCUAACUACGUGCCAGCCGCGGC